rnacentral:misc_RNA from 1 species
AAGUCGUAACAAGGUUUCCGUAGGUGAACCUGCGGAAGGAUCAUUAGUGAUUAAUUAUUGAGUGUAAAAACUCAUAAUCUUCUAUACAAACCACUGUUUUUAAAAUGUUUACUAGAAUGUCCAAGCAGUUAAGCUGUUGAAAUAUUAAAAGUUUAAUAAAACUUUCAGCAACGGAUCUCUUGGUUCAG